AACAGUCGCAGUUUGUUAGCGGAGCUGCAUCUUAUUAUUCAGUCAGGAAAAUUUGUUCCUAAUGAGCUUCAAUAAAAAAGUUCCAACUCAUCCGAUUUGUCAAUUUAUCCGUUUAUUUUUAGGCCGCAGGUCGCAAAAUAAAAACACUAAAGUCUGAACGGGUUCAUGACACCAGCAAGGAAAAACUGUGGAAAACUAAGUACAGCCCAUGAUUCAACCAGGUGAGCUGCUUUUUCUUUCAGGGUCAGCAUGUCAAUAAGGUUUAGGUCUGGACUUUGACUAGACCAUGUCAGCACUGAAUCUUUUUUCCCCAGAGAGAUUUGCUGUUUCCUGUUAACGGUUUGGGUCAAACAUCGGCUUGAAACGUGACACGCGCAGAUGAUCAAACUGAUAUUUAGACCUGAACGCCUCUCUGGCGCGGAGGGAUACCUGCGUAGUAGAACCCGCACUGGCUGCUCUGGCGCAGGAAACACGGCGGCCAUCUUGGAGCGGUCGUCUCUCCAACUAGGCUAAACCAAAACAGCAGCAGAAGAAUUAUAUUUUCUGCCGGAUAUUUUUGUUCAUAUCGACGAUCUAUUGUCGUGAGAUCUCGGGGGAUAACGUUUCACAAUUUUAAGGUUUCAUAAAGACGAUAGACGGAUCCACUGCUGAUGAAUCUCUGAAGCUGCAACUGCUCGGCUGGAAAACAUGAAUAAAGCCUACAUAGAUAUUAUGUAUAUACGCAUGUGCAUGUAAAUAUGUGUAGUUUAAUGCAUUUUAUUCAGUAUUAAUUAUUAUUUAAUCAUCUUCGUUUCUCUAUGAUUGUAUUAUUUUGUUUGUUUUAUAUAAAUAUGUAUUGAUAUUACUAAAUCAUAUAUUUAAAAAUUACGACCAUCAUCUAUUCUCUUCCAAAUCUAUUCUGUUUUCCCCAUUAAGAAUGGUGAAAUAUGCUGAACCAUGUAUCAGUCAAUUCAAAAAUACUUAAAAAAUAACUUUCUUGUAAAUGUAGUUAUGAUAUCUGUUUGAAUAAGGUUCACAGAAAAAAAAAUUGUGAAAAUCUGUUUAGUAUUUAGCGAGUUAUGAUCGGUCAAAUGCGCUGAUACUUCAGUUCGCCUGUCAAACAUAUAACGCUGAGUGGAGCGGUUGACCUCUCCAAGAUGGCCGUCCUAAAUCUCGUCAGCGACAAUAGGCAGGAUCGGCCAAGAGGCGGUUUAUGGAGUAACGUUGGAAUUGGACUUUCCGGGAGAGCUUCGCAUCAAUAUUAUUGGAUACAGAAGCUCAGAGAGGACAAACUUCAAGGACUGUUGAAAAACAGAAACUCAAAGUGAAAGCAGCGUCGGUUCAAAGCGCAGACAGAGCAGUGACAGCAGGCUGAGCGACAGCACUGCGGCCGCAGACAGCGCCGCCGCCAGCGGCCCCGAGUCGCCCAUCGGACCUGCAGCAGCAGCAGAUAAACGGGUCGAUGUGGGCCGGUCAGCGGGUUCCUGUCAGCCAGGCAGAGCUGCACAGGAUGUGGUCGGCUCAGAGAAAAGUGAGCAGCUCGGCCUGCAGGACUCACACCGUCAGUCAGGAAGCAGCGCAGCGCUCACUGCGAUGACACACACACACACACACACACACACACACACACACACACACCUCAGAUCACAGUAAACUUCAUUUCUGAACUGUAACUUUUUAAUCAAUAUUCAGGAGUUAUUGGCUUAAAACAAACUGUUAUUUCUUUCUGACAAAUUACUUUGUUUUGAGAUAUUUGCAGUAAAAACUGGACAAAAAUACUUGGAAGGAUUUUGUGUUUUCAGGAAUAUUAAAACCUGCCUGAAGCUUUUGCCAAAAUUAGGAUCAUUAUUUUUUUAAUAUCUGUUAAGCGGUAACAAUUCAUUGGCAAAAAUUUGGACCAAAUUGAACUUUUAAACCAAAUAAUUAAGAAUCAGUUUAACAAAAGAAACCUUAAGUCCUGAGCCUGAAACCUGACAUCACAAACAAACUGUCUCCAUUUUAUGUGAGCAACAGAAAAUGUCAUAACAACAAAAUUCUGAUAUUUAAACAAUCUGAAAACCUUUCAUACUAAAGCUGAAGACAGAUUUUGUAAAUGAAACAUCGUUAUUAUUUUCUCACUGUUUGACAGAAAAUCAGAGCAAAAUUUCCCCGUUUAAAUUUCUAAAUGACAAGAUAUUGAGAGUAAACAAUAUCUAAAUAUUGAGUUUUGGUGUGAAAUGUGUUCAUCGUCAACAGAACUGAAAACUUGGUAAAGAUGGUGGCCGAGUCUCAAACCAUCAUGGCUGAAAAGUCGCUCCAACAGGAAGAAGCCAAAUAAACGGAAAAAACCUCGACAAUAAAUUCAUUUAUUCUGAUUAAACUGGAGGAUGGAAACGUUUGGCCAUGAUGGAGCUCCGUACAUUUGACAGAAUCAGGGGAAGAACUGAUGCUUCAUAAAAUGGAGAUCAUUUUAUGUGGAAAUAUUGAAAUAACAAGAAGUUAAAGCCUUUACAUGAAUUGAUCUUUCAAAUAAACAAUAACUAAUCAAACCAUCAAAUUAAUCAAACUUUAUCUUAAAGAUGAGAAAAAUCAAAAAGUUCUGAUUUCUGUGGAAACGUUGAAUCAAACCUCAGCUGCAGCAGCAAACUGGAGGAAAGAUAAUUUUACUGAAUUUUAAGCUACUAAACUUUGGACACUUGAAGAAGAUGAUGAUGAAGAUGCUGAUCCAUGAGUUUGUCGACGGGGCGAAAAAACCUUUCUCCUAUUUAACGAACAGAAAACUAAUCAGAAAACUAUGGCGAUGGAUUAUAGACAGAAGCUUCGUAACGAAAAUCACACAGCAGGAUGAAAAUGAUCUUAUGACGAUUUCAACCAUCUUGAAACAACUGAUUUUCUGAAAAAAGUCAAAGUUUCAAAUCAAUCAAUCAAUCAAUGGGAUUUAUUUGUACAGCAGGUUUCAGCAGCUGUCUAUUGACGAUCUUAUUUUAUGAAUCAUAUUGAAUCUGUGUCGACCUUUUUGCUGGUUUGGCAAAAUUAGGUCAGAAAAGCACCAAGAGUGAUAAAUAAAUAUAAAUAAUAAUU